rnacentral:lncRNA from 1 species
GGACGGCUUUAAGGGGGAGGAUUUGAAAAGUUGUUGGCUCCCAUUUGAAAUUUUCUUGUAUUUAAAUUGUGGCCGACCUCUUGGACUUUGAAUUUGGGUGACGUGUCAACUUGUAUGAGGUGGCAUGGUGAUUGGUUGUUUUGAUUUUGACUCUUCCAUUUGGCAUUAUCCUCUUGGUUGAGAUGAUUGCUGAUGUGGUGUUGAGGUGGCGUCUGGUUGAGAUGAUUGCUGAUAUGGUGUUGAGGUGGCAUGACGUUGCAUUGGUUUCUUUGAUGAGAUGAUGUGGUCGGCUCCUUAUGCUUGACUUCAUCUUGGUUGGCGUCCUUCCAUUGGUUGGAGUGGUGGUGAGGUGGCCAGCUGAUGUUGAUGUGGAUGCCGAGGUGGUGCUCCAAGGGUGUGCAAAGGUGGUGGUAGAAACAUGCAACAUGUCCUGACUUGGUUUGCUUUCUGACUUAUUGAGGCUUGCUUUCUGACUUAUUGAUUUUAUUUACAGGACUCGAUCAAAGCCACAGUGACCUUGAGUUAAUUGAUUGGAGUCUUUUCUGGAUUCUGGUGCCC